AAGAGGCCAAACCCUCCCAAACCACUGUGAAUUUACCCAUCUAUUGCUUCGGCAGGCGGCCCCCGGGGGGGCGUACCUUUUGGCGUCUGCCGCAACCCAAAACCCUUACAUUAUUGCCUUCAGCGGUUAUCAGCCUGCCUUAGGGCGGCAUAAUCAGUAA
rnacentral:misc_RNA from 1 species